CAGGUGGGCACUCCUGAGGCUGCAGAGCAGAGGAGACCACCAACACUGCCCACCCCUGCCCAUAUCCCUGGCCCAAGAUGCAACUGUAUAAGGCCUCUGGGUUCCCGUACGGGAGGGCCCAGGAGCGGCAGGACCCCUGCGCCUGAGACACCGCCAGAACCUGAAGGAAACAGACUGGAUAAACAGUUCUCUGCACCCAAAUCCCAUGGCAGGGAGAGCUAAACCUUCAGACAGGCAGGCACACCUGGAAAACCAAAAGAGACUGCACUCUGUGCACAUCCAGACGCCAGAGGAAAACUCCAAACGUCAUCUAGAACCCUGGUGCACGGAGGCUCCCGGAAAGAGCGGUGCAGAUCUUCCCGGUUGCUGCCGCCGCGGAGAGGACUUAGGCAGUACCCCACGAGCAAACUUGAGCCUUGGAACCACAGGUAGGACCAACUUUUCCCCUGCAAGAAACCUGCCUGGUGAACUCAAGACACAGGCCCACAGGAACAGCUGAAGACCUGUAGACAGGAACAACUACAAAAACAGAAAACUCUGUUCCCAUAACUGGCUGAAAGAAAACAGGAAAA
rnacentral:lncRNA from 1 species